UCUUCAGUAGUAUAGUGGUCAGUAUUUUGGCUUGUCAUACAAUAAUAGUAAGACAAUUCGCCAGAGACCGGGGUUCAAUUCCCCGCUGGAGAG